AGAGCGAACGCUGGCGGCAGGCCUAACACAUGCAAGUCGAGCGCCCGUAGCAAUACGGGAGCGGCAGACGGGAUAGUAACACGUGGGAACGCGCCCUUCGGUUCGGAAUAACUCAGGGAAACUUGAGCUAAUACCGAAUACGCCCUUACGGGGAAAGAUUUAUUGCCGAAGGAACGGCCCGCGUCCGAUUAGCUAGUUGGUGAGGUAAUGGCUCACCAAGGCUACGAUCGGUAGCUGGUCUGAGAGGAUGACCAGCAUCACUGGGACUGAGACACGGCCCAGACUCCUACGGGAGGCAGCAGUGGGGAAUAUUGGACAAUGGGCGAAAGCCUGAUCCAGCCAUGCCGCGUGGAUGAUGAGGCCUUAGGGUUGUAAAGUCCUUUUAACGGGGAAGAUAAUGACGGUACCCGUAGAAUAAGCCCGGCUAACUUCGUGCCAGCAGCCGC
rnacentral:rRNA from 1 species